rnacentral:rRNA from 1 species
GAUGAACGCUGGCGGCGUGCCUAAUACAUGCAAGUCGAGCGAACGGACGCGAAGCUUGCUUCUCUGAUGUUAGCGGCGGACGGGUGAGUAACACGUGGAUAACCUACCUAUAAGACUGGGAUCACUUCGGGAAACCGGAGCUAAUACCGGAUAAUAUUUUGAACCGCAUGGUUCAAAAGUGAAAGACGGUCUUGCUGUCUCUUAUAGAUGGAUCCGCGUUGCAUUAGCUAGUUGGUAAGGUAACGGCUUACCAAGGCAACGAUGCAUAGCCGACCUGAGAGGGUGAUCGGCCACACUGGAACUGAGACACGGUCCAGACUCCUACGGGAGGCAGCAGUAGGGAAUCUUGCGCAAUGGGCGAAAGCCUGACGGAGCAACGCCGCGUGAGGGAUGAAGGUCUUCGGAUCGUAAAACUCUGUUAUUAGGGAAGAACAGAUGUGUAAGAAACUGUGCAGAUCUUGACGGUACCUAAUGAGAAAGCCACGGCUAACUACGUG